rnacentral:lncRNA from 1 species
CAAAAGAAGGAAGAUUGGGAGCGCAUGGUUUAGGGUGGGGUGGAGUGGAAGGGCAAAUGGGGACCAUACUAGACUGCAGAACUAACUAAAAGGGCACGGACUCAGCGACUCCGCGACGGAGCCUGCCUGGGUGAGGGAGUCUCUGGGACGCAGGGGGCUCCUGUAGCUGGCAGGUUGCUGGGCAGGAGGGGGUCACAAACACGGCAGGGAAGUCUCGUCGCUGCGAAGGGGACGCGGCAUCCAUCUCUCCUCGGGAACUGAGGAGAGAAAAGGUCUGAGAACCUGCCCUCUUCUGCUACUUCCUCUUCCCCCCACCCUUCCCCCUUUCAGUACCAGGAUUCUUUGGGCGGUGAGUGCCAGAGGGCCCCAGUCACCCAGAACCCCCACCCCGAGUCAAAGCGCUGAAAUGAGCCCCGCGGCAGGUACGUGUGCGCGCCGCGAUGUAUUUCUGCCCCUUGGCCGGGCUUGUGCAGCCAAAUGGGGUGGCUGCGCAUGUCUUGGUCCAGGUAUGUCCCCGUCGCAGCCUCGGGCGUCUGGAUGUAUCAGAAAACCCGCAGGGGCAGGGUGCAUUUUCCCCGGCUGGGAGGGGUGAGGGUGGGCAGAGGGAAGGGCUGGGGAUUCGAUCCUUUUCUCCCACUCACGGGUCCCACCCCGCCGCCUAGGGGCCGUGUUCAUUACCUUUGAAAAUGCUCAGUUCUUCUUCGGUCCAGGGCGGGGCAGAAGGGAGGAUGCAGAGGGAGAAACAGGACACGAGAUGACCAAGGUUUCACAUAAUAAUGGUAAUUCAGUUCUGCACAUUAGCUCUCCCUGCCAUCAUCCAUCCGGUUCAUAGAAGUGGACAGGAUAUGAGGAAGGCUUCAGUGAUCACUGUCCUAGCCAGAUUCUGCCCCAGGACCACAAGCUUAAACUCCAGAUGCCCAAGCCCCGGCUUAUAAAUGGUUCCCCUCGCCAUGUUUCCCAAGCUGUGGAGGAGUGGGAAGGUUGAGUGGAGGAAGGGAUAUCUGCCUCCAACCACGCUAGACCCGACCUGCUGUCACCGCCCGCCCCAGCUGGAUCCAGAAUGGAAACCUGGAAUAGCAGGCAAAGCCACCCCCGACACUCCAUGUUCCUCCCCAGAACCAGCUCCCUCUCCUACCAGCUGAAUUUUCAGGACAGAGCUGCCAGGUGGCCAGUCCACAGGUGGAAGUGGAAGGAGAUUGAAAGGACCUGGGAAGAGGUUCAUUGGUCAUGGUGCCUGGCUGGUGCUUUCCAAAGCCAAGGUUGCUGGUGUGUGCCUGACAGUUCCAUAGGAAGUAGGGACUUCUGGGAGGGAGGAGGAGGUGGAAGGUGCCCUGGUCAGCAAAGUGGGGUCCAAGCCUUCUAGUCCCAACUGGGCACAUCACUUCAUCUCUGAGAGUCUCAUUUUCUUCAGCCACAACUAAUGAACAAAGUCUCCUUCAGCUCCCAAAUCCGAAUAGCUUUAAGGAUAUCCCCUGCUUGCUGCUUGUUAUUAUGUCAGGCCCUGUGCUAAGCGCUUUGCAUAUAUUACCUCAUUUAAUCCCCAUUUUGGAAGUCAGGAAACAGCCUCUGAGACAUUUUGUAACUUAGCUAAGGUCACUCAGUUGACAAAUAGUGAAGUGAUGGGAUUCAGUAGCCUCUGCUGCUAGCCACUGCCUCAGGGCAGGUAAUUAUUUCUAUGAAUUCAGCAGGGCCAAGCCAACUAGACUAAGCAAAAGAAAUGAGGAUCCAAAAAAAUUCAUGCGCUUUUUCAUGCGCGGUGAAUGCAGGAAAAGUCAUAUAUAUAUAUGGCUAUGUAAAUCAGCAACUGCAAUAUUUGAAUCAGCAUGAAUAAAAAACCAUUCCUCUGUCUCUUAAAAAAAUAGGCAGAUCUGUUUUCUUCUUCCUCAUUUCUAUCUGAGCCUCUGUACCAAGGAGAAACGGGAAUAAGACAGGACUAGAUUCUUCCCAAACACCAGGUGAUGCGGUCAGUGAGGAGAGCUCCAGAAUCAAAAGAUGAAGAAGGACCUGCCUCUAGCCCCCAAGAGGUAUGCUGUUCUUCCCACACAUCUCAGCUCUCUCCCAGCACUGAGUCCAGCCCUCCACAGAAAGGGGAGGAAAAUGCCCACCCCUAGCCCUGCCCUUCCCCAACCCUCCACACAUCACUCCUUCUUCUUCCUGCCCUCCUGCACAGUCUGAUAAUGGUGCUCUCUCUUGCUCAGCCCUUUAGCCCUGCAGACCUAGGACAGGGCAUGACUUGGGAAGGCUCCUGUGCACAGGGUGCACUGGAGGAGGUGCCCCAGGCCCUGGGCCAUGGAGAUAAUUGUGUAUCUGCUUCUCUUUUACCUUUUGGGUGGGUAGCCUCUCCUUUUUUAAGGGACACUGACUUCAACCAUGUCUACUAAUCCCUCAGUAUGGCUCCCUGGGCACUCAAGAGCAACAGUUCCAGGCAGGGACCCCCACAUCCUACUCUAAUUACUACUGCAGACACAGAGGAGACCAAUUCCAUUCCUUCCCUGGCCUCUUGGAUUCUUUGUUUACUCACCUCUUUCCAGUGACCACGUCUCCCACUUCCCCUUCCCCAGCAAUACUCCCCUGUCAUCCUCACCUCUCCCCUCCCCCCAGCUCAUUUCCCAGAACCCACCAUCCAUUUAUCUUCUCUACUUUAUACAACACUGCUGGGAGGAAGGGCUCUUCCUCAGUGGAGCCCAGGAACCUCCAUGAGGAGCCCAUUUCUCCCUUCACAACCAAAAAAUUGCUUCCUGUAGAAUAACAAGCAGAGGGAAAAGGCUGGAAGGAGAUAUGUUAUCGGGGUGUUCUCCAGGGGGUGGGACUGUAGGUGACUGACAUGUUUGUUUUUCAUACUUUUCUCUAGGUUUUACGUUUUCUAUUAUGAGCAGAUUACUUUUAUAAUCAGUAAAUAUUUAGAGGAGAGGUUAAACCACAGCUCUUCGAAGAAGACAGGGCUAUGUUUGAAUCCUGCCUCCACAGUUAGGAGUCAUGCUUCCUUGGAAAAAUCUAACUUUCUAAACCUCAGUUGGCACAUCUGUGAAAUAAUACCUACUUCACAGGGUUGUUGCUAUGAUUAAAUAUAAAGUGC